rnacentral:rRNA from 1 species
UGGGGAAUAUUGCACAAUGGGCGAAAGCCUGAUGCAGCGACGCCGCGUGCGGGAUGAAGGCCUUCGGGUUGUAAACCGCUUUUAAUUGGGAGCAAGCGAGAGUGAGUGUACCUUUUGAAUAAGCACCGGCUAACUACGUGCCAGCAGCCGCGGUAAUACGUAGGGUGCAAGCGUUAUCCGGAAUUAUUGGGCGUAAAGAGCUCGUAGGCGGUUUGUCACGCCUGGUGUGAAAGUCCAUCGCUUAACGGUGGAUCUGCGCCGGGUACGGGCAGGCUAGAGUGCAGUAGGGGAGAUUGGAAUUCCCGGUGUAACGGUGGAAUGUGUAGAUAUCGGGAAGAACACCAAUGGCGAAGGCAGAUCUCUGGGCUGUUACUGACGCUGAGGAGCGAAAGCAUGGGGAGCGAACAGGAUUAGAUACCCUGGUAGUCCAUGCCGUAAACGGUGGAUGCUGGAUGUGGGACCCUUCCACGGGUUCCGUGUCGGAGCUAACGCGUUAAGCAUCCCCGCCUGGGGAGUACGGCCGCAAGGUUAAAACUCUAAAGUGAAUUGAC